rnacentral:rRNA from 1 species
UGAGUAACACGUAUGGAACCUGCCGUAUACUGGGGGAUAACACUUAGAAAUAGGUGCUAAUACCGCAUAAGCGCACAGCUUCGCAUGAAGCAGUGUGAAAAACUCCGGUGGUAUACGAUGGAUCCGCGUCUGAUUAGCUGGUUGGCGGGGUAACAGCCCACCAAGGCGACGAUCAGUAGCCGGCCUGAGAGGGUGAACGGCCACAUUGGGACUGAGACACGGCCCAAACUCCUACGGAAGGCAGCAG